rnacentral:lncRNA from 1 species
CACCUGGCCUGAUGGCCGCAGACAGGUCCCUAUCUCUAAGGGGAAAACGGAUCCUAUAGGAGAUGGCGGGGCUCAUUGAGAGGGCUUUAAACUAGCUGACCUUACAGGCGCUGCUUUGGAGUCUAGUUAGAAUGUAGUGAGACCUGAAGACUGUGUUAUGAUGUGAAAGCAGUGAGACCCAGAGAGCAAUUGGAGGAGCUGAUUCUAAGCCUGGUGAAUGUGACACUUCUUCAGGAAAAGGAUCUUAUUAUGGAGCAUAGAUGUGUGAUUCCAGUACCUGCCCAUGAAGAUUCAAUCCACAGGUUUAGAAAUGGAAAGCUACCUAAAAAAUCAUGACAGGAAAGGGCAGAGGAAAAAUAUAGGAACAAAUAGACCAAAACUAAAUGGUCUUCACUGAAACACCAUGGAAACAACCAUCACUCUCAAAAAGUUUUCAGCUUUAAAAACAAGCUGCAUCUUCACAGGCUUAAUUAGGUCAGACCAAAUUGCCAUGUUGCAAUCAGAUUGACUGAGAAUUGAAUCUAAUAAAACAUGAGAAAUUACAUCUUUCUGCUUCCUUUGUGCAUGUUUGGAGCUCUGACAAUGCCAGCAGUAGUAGGUGUUUAGGGAAAGAGCAUACAAAAUAAAGCAAAUUCUUG